GAGUUUGAUCCUGGCUCAGGACGAACGCUGGCGGCGUGCUUAACACAUGCAAGUCGAACGGAACACCCCUGAAAGAGUUUUCGGACAAUGGAUGGGAAUGUUUAGUGGCGGACUGGUGAGUAACGCGUGAGGAACCUGCCUUCCAGAGGGGGACAACAGUUGGAAACGACUGCUAAUACCGCAUGACGCAUCGAAGUCGCAUGACUUUGAUGUCAAAGAUUUUAUCGCUGGAAGAUGGCCUCGCGUCUGAUUAGCUAGCUGGUGAGGUAACGGCCCACCAAGGCGACGAUCAGUAGCCGGACUGAGAGGUUGGCCGGCCACAUUGGGACUGAGAUACGGCCCAGACUCCUACGGGAGGCAGCAGUGGGGAAUAUUGGGCAAUGGACGCAAGUCUGACCCAGCAACGCCGCGUGAAGGAAGAAGGCUUUCGGGUUGUAAACUUCUUUUAAGGGGAAGGAGCAGAAGACGGUACCCCUUGAAUAAGCCACGGCUAACUACGUGCCAGCAGCCGCGGUAAUACGUAGGUGGCAAGCGUUGUCCGGAUUUACUGGGUGUAAAGGGCGUGCAGCCGGAGAGACAAGUCAGAUGUGAAAUCCGCGGGCUCAACCCGCGAACUGCAUUUGAAGCUGUUUCCCUUGAGUAUCGGAGAGGUAACCGGAAUUC
rnacentral:rRNA from 1 species